rnacentral:tRNA from 1 species
GCCCUGGUAGCCCAGUGGUUAAGACUUGGCCCUUUCACUGCUAUGGGCCCAGGUUCCAUCCCUGGUCAGGGAA